rnacentral:rRNA from 1 species
CCCUUAGAUGUUCUGGGCCGCACGCGCGCUACACUGACGAAUGCAACGAGCUUAUAAUAACCUUGGCCGAAAGGUCUGGGUAAUCUCCAAAUUUCGUCGUGAUGGGGAUAGAUUAUUGCAAUUAUUAAUCUUCAACGAGGAAUGCCUAGUAAGCGCAAGUCAUCAGCUUGCGUUGAUUACGUCCCUGCCCUUUGUACACACCGCCCGUCGCUCCUACCGAUUGAAUGGUCCGGUGAAGCGUUCGGACCGUGGCCUUUGGACGGUUCGCCGUCUGUUGGCUGCGGGAAGUUCGUUAAACCUUAUCAUUUAGAGGAAGGAGAAGUCGUAACA